rnacentral:lncRNA from 1 species
UAUACUUUUGUUGUCAUCGGCAACACCAACCCUUUGAUUUCAGCAUUGAAUGCGACCUCGACACUGAUUAUUCAUCUUCCUGUUGCUACUGCCACACCCUCUAAUCCCUUCCAAAUCUUUAAGCGUUGUGAUUCACAGAAACGGUUAGCAUAGGCAUCGUUGUAAUCUCUCUGUUUGAACAAAGCGAAGAAUCAAGACCAAGAAGGAAACCACGAAGAAACUAGUCACCGCCAAGGGUUUCGAAUUUGUCAUCGACAAAGUUUCAAAACAUUGAAGCCACGCGUCUGUGUAUGGCAUUUUGAUUUUGAUUUUACGGUAUUUGCUCUUGAUUAAUGUUUGUUCGCAGUUGCUUUUCAAACACAUAAUGAAAACCUUGUACUGAAAUUUCAGAUGGAUGUCUUAAAAUUUCUGAACUUGUCGUGUAAUGGGUAUCUGUUGGUUCUUCAAAUAAAUUUGGUUUAUUUUACGGUA